rnacentral:misc_RNA from 1 species
GGAAGUAAAAAUCGUAACAAGGUUUCCGUAGGUGAACCUGCGGAAGGAUCAUUAUCGUACAAAAUGUGAGAGGCAUGCGAGGGCUGUCGCUGACCCAAAAGUCGUGCACGCCCGAGUGUGUCCUCUUGCAUAAUAAUCCAUCUCACCCUUUGUGCAUCACCGCGUGGGCACCCUUCGGGAUCAUCUCGGAGGGGGGCUCGCGUUUUCACACAAACCCCCCUUUUAAAAGUGUAGAAUGACCACAUUUAUGCAAUCAAUACAACUUUCAACAACGGAUCUCUUGGCUCUC